rnacentral:misc_RNA from 1 species
GAUGAAGAACGUAGCGAAAUGCGAUAAGUAAUGUGAAUUGCAGAAUUCAGUGAAUCAUCGAAUCUUUGAACGCACAUUGCGCCCCCUGGUAUUCCGGGGGCAUGCCUGUCCGAGCGUCAUUACAACCCUCAAGCUCAGCUUGGUGUUGGGCCCCGCCGCCCCGGCGGGCCCUAAAGUCAGUGGCGGUGCCGUCCGGCUCCGAGCGUAGUAAUUCUUCUCGCUCUGGAGGUCCGGUCGUGUGCUCGCCAGCAACCCCCAAUUUUUUUCAGGUUGACCUCGGAUCAGGUAGGGAUACCCGCUGAACUUAAGCAUAUCAAUAAGCGGAGGA